rnacentral:rRNA from 1 species
CCUACGGGUGGGCAGCAGUGGGGAAUAUUGGACAAUGGGCGAAAGCCUGAUCCAGCCAUGCCGCGUGUGUGAAGAAGGCCUUCGGGUUGUAAAGCACUUUCAGUGGGGAAGAAAGCCUUGGGGCUAAUACCCUCGAGGAAGGACAUCACCCACAGAAGAAGCACCGGCUAACUCCGUGCCAGCAGCCGCGGUAAUACGGAGGGUGCGAGCGUUAAUCGGAAUUACUGGGCGUAAAGCGCACGUAGGCGGUCUGAUAAGCCGGUUGUGAAAGCCCCGGGCUCAACCUGGGAACGGCAUCCGGAACUGUCAGGCUAGAGUGCAGGAGAGGAAGGUAGAAUUCCCGGUGUAGCGGUGAAAUGCGUAGAGAUCGGGAGGAAUACCAGUGGCGAAGGCGGCCUUCUGGACUGACACUGACGCUGAGGUGCGAAAGCGUGGGUAGCAAACAGGAUUAGAUACCCCUGUAGUC